rnacentral:rRNA from 1 species
GAUGAACGCUGGCGGCGUGCCUAAUACAUGCAAGUCGAGCGAACAGACGAGGAGCUUGCUCCUCUGACGUUAGCGGCGGACGGGUGAGUAACACGUGGAUAACCUACCUAUAAGACUGGGAUAACUUCGGGAAACCGGAGCUAAUACCGGAUAAUAUAUUGAACCGCAUGGUUCAAUAGUGAAAGACGGUUUUGCUGUCACUUAUAGAUGGAUCCGCGCCGCAUUAGCUAGUUGGUAAGGUAACGGCUUACCAAGGCAACGAUGCGUAGCCGACCUGAGAGGGUGAUCGGCCACAAUGGAACUGAGACACGGUCCAGACUCCUACGGGAGGCAGCAGUAGGGAAUCUUCCGCAAUGGGCGAAAGCCUGACGGAGCAACGCCGCGUGAGCGAUGAAGGUCUUCGGAUCGUAAAACUCUGUUAUUAGGGAAGAACAAAUGUGUAAGUAACUAUGCACGUCUUGACGGUACCUAAUCAGAAAGCCACGGCUAACUACGUG